AACUGACUCUCCUCACAAAAAAAAUACAUUUGUAAGGGUAUUUUUAUCUGUAUUUUAUUUUUUUCAUUUACAUGUACUGUAAAAUCAAUCAUCCUUAAUCAGAACGAUAGUUGUAUGUGUGAGUGUAUGCGAGUGGGAGAGAAAGGCUUUUUAUUUUUACUUUAUGUGAUUACAUGCUUGUUAUGAGCCCUAUGAUUAGGAAAUAAAAUAUCUUUAUCUUAUCUUAUCUUAUCUUUAU
rnacentral:lncRNA from 1 species